rnacentral:rRNA from 1 species
CAGACAAACUCCGAAUGCCAAUUAAUUUAACUUGGGAGUCAGAACAUGGGUGAUAAGGUCCGUGUUCGAAAGGGAAACAGCCCAGACCACCAGCUAAGGUCCCAAAAUAUAUGUUAAGUGGAAAAGGAUGUGGCGUUGCCCAGACAACUAGGAUGUUGGCUUAGAAGCAGCCAUCAUUUAAAGAGUGCGUAAUAGCUCACUAGUCGAGUGACACUGCGCCGAAAAUGUACCGGGGCUAAACAUAUUACCGAAGCUGUGGAUUGUCCUUUGGACAAUGGUAGGAGAGCGUUCUAAGGGCGUUGAAGCAUGAUCGUAAGGACAUGUGGAGCGCUUAGAAGUGAGAAUGCCGGUGUGAGUAGCGAAAGACGGGUGAGAAUCCCGUCCACCGAUUGACUAAGGUUUCCAGAGGAAGGCUCGUCCGCUCUGGGUUAGUCGGGUCCUAAGCUGAGGCCGACAGGCGUAGGCGAUGGAUAACAGGUUGAUAUUCCUGUACCACCUAUAAUCGUUUUAAUCGAUGGGGGGACGCAGUAGGAUAGGCGAAGCGUGCGAUUGGAUUGCACGUCUAAGCAGUAAGGCUGAGUAUUAGGCAAAUCCGGUACUCGUUAAGGCUGAGC